AGCAGUAUUCAUGUAGUCCGGCAACCCUGCAAGCCGCCAUCUGUAGUCUUACUUAGCCUUGUUUAGGUGGAUUUAACAUAGGCUAACGACUUUGAGGACUGAUUUCUCCCAUUAAUUUUGCUACCAGGAGCAAAAUUAUUGUGGCAAGUUGUACGUCAGGAUAUUGCCAACAUUUCAAGUGCCAAAUUUUCAAGAAUUCGCUACAACUAGUACUUCAAAUCAUCGUUACAGUGAAGGGCUAUCAACAUUUGAAACAAUAACAAACAGUCAACAGCAAAUGGAAUGUAAAUGUCUUCUGAGGAUGCAGAAGAUCUUUUACAUGAUUCAGUUAUUGAAUUAUUUGACUUAUCUGAUUAUUCUUCAACUUUGCCAAACGAUGCUAAAGAAAGAUAUGUUGCUAAGCUUAAUGAAGUACAGUGUGACUGUCCUUACGUCAUAGAAAAUGAGUAUUGGACUUCCAGUACACAAGAGCUAGAAACAAUA